UACGAAGGGGGCUAGCGUUGCUCGGAUUUACUGGGCGUAAAGCGCAUGUAGGCGGGUCGUUAAGUCGGGGGUGAAAGCCCAGAGCUCAACUCUGGAACUGCCUUCGAUACUGGCGACCUGGAGCAGGUCAGAGGCGAGGGGAAUUGCGAGUGUAGAGGUGAAAUUCGUAGAUAUUCGCAGGAAAGCCAGUGGCGAAGGCGACUCGAUGGGACUUUGCUGACGCUGAGAUGCGAAAGCGUGGGGAGCAAACAGG
rnacentral:rRNA from 1 species